AUUGAACGCUGGCGGCAGGCUUAACACAUGCAAGUCGAACGAGUGGCGGACGGGUGAGUAAUGUCUGGGAAACUGCCUGAUGGAGGGGGAUAACUACUGGAAACGGUAGCUAAUACCGCAUACCAUCGGAUGUGCCCAGAUGGGAUUAGCUAGUAGGUGGGGUAAAGGCUCACCUAGGCGACGAUCCCUAGCUUGUCUGAGAGGAUGACCAGCCACACUGGAACUGAGACACGGUCCAGACUCCUACGGGAGGCAGCAGUGGGGAAUAUUGCACAAUGGGCGCAAGCCUGAUGCAGCCAUGCCGCGUGUAUGAAGAAGGCCUUCGGGUUGUAAAGUACUUUCAGCGGGGAGGCGUUACUCGAAGAAGAAGCACCGGCUAACUCCGUGCCAGCCGCCGCGGUAAUUA
rnacentral:rRNA from 1 species